GACGGAGGAUGCAAGUGUUAUCCGGAAUCACUGGGCGUAAAGCGUCUGUAGGUGGUUUAAUAAGUCAACUGUUAAAUCUUGAGGCUCAACUUCAAAAUCGCAGUCGAAACUAUUAGACUAGAGUAUAGUAGGGGUAAAGGGAAUUUCCAGUGGAGCGGUGAAAUGCGUAGAGAGUUGGAAAGAACACCAAUGCGGAAGAC
rnacentral:rRNA from 1 species